rnacentral:tRNA from 1 species
CUGGGUGUGGCUCAGUGGUAGAGCAUUUUCCUAGAAUGUGUGAGGCUCUGGGUUUAAUCCCCAGCACCAGGG